UACGUAGGGUGCAAGCGUUAAUCGGAAUUACUGGGCGUAAAGCGUGCGCAGGCGGUUAUGUAAGACAGGUGUGAAAUCCCCGGGCUUAACCUGGGAACUGCAUUUGUGACUGCAUAGCUAGAGUACGGUAGAGGGGGAUGGAAUUCCGCGUGUAGCAGUGAAAUGCGUAGAUAUGCGGAGGAACACCGAUGGCGAAGGCAAUCCCCUGGACCUGUACUGACGCUCAUGCAC
rnacentral:rRNA from 1 species